ensembl:lncRNA
GCUUACACGGUUAUUGAAAGCACUUCAAGAGGUGGGUUUUCUCUUGAACAAACAAAAUGACCAAUUGUUUAGACAUUUUUGGGUCAGAGUAUAGGUUGUGAGGGAGAAAGACCUCUUCCAGACCAGGUCAUAGCCAUAACUCAAUUGAAUAAGCCAACCACGGUUACUGGUUUAAGAUCACUAAUAGGGUUAUUUAAUUUUAAUCGAGUGUACAUUCCAGAUUUUUCUGAUUUGGCUAAACCCCUGAUGGAGGCUCUUAAAGGAGGCCUUCCGGGCGCUUCCCCUUUGGAGUGGACGGUGGAGAUGACUGAGUCUUUUACUCUCCUCAAAUCCACCUUAGCCUCUUCCCCUGCUUUACAUCACCCCGAAUUGACAAAGUCCUUACAUAUAUGGACACAUGUUGGCCCAAGUGCUUACAGCUGUGUGUUGGGUCAAUACAAAAGUGACAAAAGUUAUGGCAUCGUUGGGUAUUUUUCGACUUUGAUUAGCACCCCAAACUGUACUACUGGAUUAGCGCCAUUCGAAAUUUGCAUGGGACGGCCUAUGGAAUUACUGUAUGAUGCUCCGCUAUUACACUCAGGUCCCUCAGGUCCAUUAAAGGACACUUUGCAAGAGAAUCUUAAACUACUCACGUGCACAUUAAAGAAUGCCCAUUUCAGUGCCCUCAGCGCUCAGAAUGCAGGAGAUCUCAAAAAUGCUGUGUUUAAUUUAAAAGCUGAAAAUCCUGUACAAGUGGGGGACAAAGUUAUGGUCCAGAAAUUAUGGAACUUGGGACCAAUGUCCUCCCACUAUGAGGGUCCUUAUCUGGUGUUGCUGACCACCCCAACAUCUAUUCUUGUUGAAGUCAAGCCAGUCUUGACUCGAUGGAUGCAUCUUGCUCAAGUAAAGCCUCUGUCGCUGCUUGCAAAUGCUAACAACCCCUUUAAUCCAAAUUAGCCCAACAGGUGCUGCUAUACUUUACAUCUUGAGGAUGGCUGCCAAGAACGCAUCAAAGAUUUUUGCCUCCUUUUUCCUAGGUUUCCC